rnacentral:rRNA from 1 species
AGAGUUUGAUCCUGGCUCAGAUUGAACGCUGGCGGCAGGCCUAACACAUGCAAGUCGAGCGGUAGCACAGAGAGCUUGCUCUCGGGUGACGAGCGGCGGACGGGUGAGUAAUGUCUGGGAAACUGCCUGAUGGAGGGGGAUAACUACUGGAAACGGUAGCUAAUACCGCAUAACGUCGCAAGACCAAAGUGGGGGACCUUCGGGCCUCAUGCCAUCAGAUGUGCCCAGAUGGGAUUAGCUAGUAGGUGGGGUAACGGCUCACCUAGGCGACGAUCCCUAGCUGGUCUGAGAGGAUGACCAGCCACACUGGAACUGAGACACGGUCCAGACUCCUACGGGAGGCAGCAGUGGGGAAUAUUGCACAAUGGGCGCAAGCCUGAUGCAGCCAUGCCGCGUGUGUGAAGAAGGCCUUCGGGUUGUAAAGCACUUUCAGCGGGGAGGAAGGCGUUAAGGUUAAUAACCUUGGCGAUUGACGUUACCCGCAGAAGAAGCACCGGCUAACUCCGUGCCAGCAGCCGCGGUAAUACGGAGGGUGCAAGCGUUAAUCGGAAUUACUGGGCGUAAAGCGCACGCAGGCGGUCUGUCAAGUCGGAUGUGAAAUCCCCGGGCUCAACCUGGGAACUGCAUUCGAAACUGGCAGGCUAGAGUCUUGUAGAGGGGGGUAGAAUUCCAGGUGUAGCGGUGAAAUGCGUAGAGAUCUGGAGGAAUACCGGUGGCGAAGGCGGCCCCCUGGACAAAGACUGACGCUCAGGUGCGAAAGCGUGGGGAGCAAACAGGGAUUAGAUACCCUGGUAGUCCACGCCGUAAACGAUGUCGAUUUGGAGGUUGUGCCCUUGAGGCGUGGCUUCCGGAGCUAACGCGUUAAAUCGACCGCCUGGGGAGUACGGCCGCAAGGUUAAAACUCAAAUGAAUUGACGGGGGCCCGCACAAGCGGUGGAGCAUGUGGUUUAAUUCGAUGCAACGCGAAGAACCUUACCUGGUCUUGACAUCCACAGAACUUAGCAGAGAUGCUUUGGUGCCUUCGGGAACUGUGAGACAGGUGCUGCAUGGCUGUCGUCAGCUCGUGUUGUGAAAUGUUGGGUUAAGUCCCGCAACGAGCGCAACCCUUAUCCUUUGUUGCCAGCGGUUAGGCCGGGAACUCAAAGGAGACUGCCAGUGAUAAACUGGAGGAAGGUGGGGAUGACGUCAAGUCAUCAUGGCCCUUACGACCAGGGCUACACACGUGCUACAAUGGCAUAUACAAAGAGAAGCGACCUCGCGAGAGCAAGCGGACCUCAUAAAGUAUGUCGUAGUCCGGAUUGGAGUCUGCAACUCGACUCCAUGAAGUCGGAAUCGCUAGUAAUCGUAGAUCAGAAUGCUACGGUGAAUACGUUCCCGGGCCUUGCACUCACCGCCCGUCA